rnacentral:snRNA from 1 species
GGAUGUGUGGAAGAUUUGGCUGUGACAUCUGUCACACCACUGACCAUCAGGGUUGAUUGGCUGGAUGGACUGGUGUCCCCUUCCUCCCCCAUUGCUCCAUAUGCAUUCAUCCUGAAGAUGUGCAUUCAGUGGAAAACUACUACUAUCCCACAUAGAAAGAGUGGGAAAGGACUACCACCCUAUUUUUUGCUCAAGGAUAUAUAAUAGUUGUGCUUCCCUGCUGGGGCGUCCAAACAUACCUGUUCUUUCUGAAGAAUCACAAAGCAGGCAAAAUGCCCAGUUCUGGAUUUUGCUACUUCUACCCACAGAGUGUCUGUCUUACCAGGU